UUUGUUCAAACCGCGCGAGAUGGACGACUGGUGUCUAAGUUUAUGAAUAUGAAAAAAAUUCAAUAAAAUACAAGGGAACCAUGUCUGUGACCUGCCAGCACACCAUGCGUGUGCCAUUCCCAUUGUCACACAUACAAAUAGCCUGCAAUGGUGUCUACUUGGCACUGCCGUUUGUAAGGACUUCCAUUGGAGUGUGGAGUCUGGACAAAUUAUUCUGCAAGCCUUUGGAACUUGAAGGCCAUAGGCAUAA